GUAUUUUGAGAGGGAACUUCGAAGGUUUAGCCGAAAAGAGAAGAGGCUGCUGCUGAAUAACCAUGGACUGUUCGACCCUGAAAAGAAAGAAUUCUUACCCGCGGCUUCAGAGGAAGACAUCUUCGAGCACCUGGGCCUGGAGUACGUCCCGCCAGAACAGAGGAACGCCUGAGCGCCGCCGCGGCCUCCGGCCUCCGUCUGGGAGGGCCAAAGCCGCCUCCUCUGCCCCGCGGCCCGACAAAGCCGUCUCUGGCCCCGAGAAGCCUGGGAUUUCUGGUCCCUCGGGCCCAGCCUCUCCCCUCCUGGUCCUUGGGAAGGUGGAAGGUCUUCUAAAGCGGCUCCGACCUGGGUCACAGGAUGGGUUUGAGCCCCACGUCCUUGCCCGGUUCGGGGGACCAUGGAGUGGAAUGCCGGCGGCGUCAGAGGCCGGGCAGGCCCAGACCGAAGUGCCCUUUAGGGACCCAGGCCCGGCCCGUAGCUCUUUGCCUUUUUUUGUCUGUGUAAAUACAACACAAUUCUAAUUAAAGUGACGUCUAUUUUUGCAA